AUCUCAUAUUUGGUUCAUAGCAUCCUUAAUAAUUAUCUUCUUUAUUUCAGGUUGAUAUACGGUUUCCUCAGCCAGGUUCUGAGGACCCGAGCAAGGUUACUGUAACCGGACUGCCGGAGAAUGUUGAUAAUGCCAUUGACCAUCUACUUAACCUGGAAGAAGAAUAUAUGUUGAGUGUCACAGAGACAGAGACUAUGGCAUCUUAUAUGAAGCCUCCUUCAAAGACGAUGGGGACAGGAGGAAAUGACGAGGAUAACAAAGCUCUGGCUAAAGGCUUUGUUGUGCGGGACGCCCCCUGGAAUGCACAAGGCAACAAGGCACCAGACAUGAGCAGUGCCGAAGAGUUCCCCACGUUCGGAUCUGGAAUAGCACCGAAACAGACGUCUGCAUGGGGACCCAAAAAGUGCUGAAUGAAACACAUUUGUUCUGACUCCAGAUCUCACAUCUCUAGCACUUGAGAACAAGAACAUUCCAUAUUUUUUGCUUUUGUCUUUCUCCUGGUGCGUUUAGUGCCCUUGGAGGAGUUACUUCAUUCCUCUGCUUCCUUUGCCUGAAUAGUUCCUUAUCAUUUGGUGGAUAGAUGUUCUUCAACACUCCUCACCUGCCCGCAGGUGGUCACACGUCAGUUCCUGUUGUGCCAGUCUGAAAUCACAGAAACGGAACCUCAAGUAGCAGUUACCGUCAUUAUCCACCUGUUGUUUUCUUGAGUUGGGCGACAAAUGGCUAGGCAUUGAAGAAUGAGGCAGAAGUUUUGUAUUUCUUGGACUAUUUAUUGCAAGAGAACCCCUAGUUCACUGUGUAUAAGUUCUUUUUUAAGUCCUUGAUGGUUUUUACUGUUCUUUUUAUGUGUGUGUGUGUGUGUGCGUACGUGUGUGUGUGUGUGUGUGGGAGAGAGAGAGAGAGAUCCAUUCUAAAUGCACCCGGUUUGCUGAAUUUUCAUUUGACACUGUAAGAGAGAUGAAGGCUGGUCAAUACUGAUCUUUUAAAAAAUAUUUUCUGUAUAUAUUAGUGUAUUUAUACGUCUGUUAUUUAUUGAUUUUCUUCAGUGACUGAAUAUUCAAACUCUGAUGAGUGUGAAUGGUUUUGAAGCAUAAAAAGUAUUAGGUAUUAUUUUGCAGUAUGCUUGGUUUCUUUUGCUUCAGGAAAAUAUUUUUUUGUGCGUGUCUUAGUCAUAGUUCAUUUUACACAAGAAGUGUGUGUGUUGUGUGAUUUACUUUGAAUCUCAAAAUUUUGUCUUUGAAUCUGCUGUUUAUAUUUGAAGUAUUUUCCACUUCACCUUUGUCUUCAGCUUUUCCAAAGCGCAGGAAAUGAAGAUUUCCUUUUUCAAACCAGAGCAUGCAUGACAUACGUUCGAGAUUUCAAAUUAAAAGUCUCUGGAAAGCUGUUUAUUAACAUAAAAUUUCACAGUAAAAGAUUAUAAUUAAAGCAACUGUUUUGUGUAUUUUGCGACUUUAGAGCCCCCUACAGUUAAGUGAGUGGAAUUCACUGUCGUAAUUACACUGGAUAGCUGUGCGUUGAUGCUCUUUAUGCGGUACA